UAGUGGAAUUACUGUUGCAGAAAAUAAAGGAAUAUAUUUUUGUCUAGGUUCCAUUAAGUGAAGUGAAAAAUUAUCUCCUUGUGAUUGAGAACAACACCUUCCACCCUAAAAAUGCUGAAUUCCACGGGAUAUCCAAUAACAACACCAGUAUCAUGUAUGCCCAAAUUCUCUGCAACUCCUCACCUAUCGCUUGAACCUCUAGCAAUGAUUGCUUUUAAGUGUUUGUUUCUUCUUUCUUUUCUUUGGAUUGUAAGGGCCUGUUUGGUGAGUUAGUUUGAGUGUUUUUGAUAUAUGUGUGGGUGAAAAAGUGUGUGAAAAAGUGUGUUAUGUUGUUUAAAAUGUGUAGUUUUGUGUUUGAUUAGGGCUGCCAAACAGACCCUAAACUUUUGGGAUACAUUUUCCUGUUUAUGGAGUUUUGGUGCAAUUACUUUUUUGUAACCAAAGUUUACCCACUUGAAUGGUUUUUCCCCCAACUACGUUUUCUUUCAAAAGUAAAUAGAUUUCUUGUACAGGCCAACUAAGCCUUAUGACUUAUUAUAAUUAUUUAUGACCAUUAAACUUUGUGUUGAACUUUCAUUUGUGCAGGGUUGAGUUUCCUUGGCUUUCUGCGAGUAUAAGCUGAGAUAUAGGAUUGGUGGCAAAAUGAUAGCUUUUGUGGGACUACUUGAACUCAAAUAUUUUCUGUAAAGUUUGGAAGCUAAGACAUCAUUUGUAUAUAAAUAGUUGUAAUUACUUUGUAAAACAUCUUUAUUGCAUUUUUAGGUUGUAUGGAUGUUUUUUUUUAAUAUUUUUUUUAUAUGGAUUUGGUUAAAAAUGAAUGGAUGUUUAUUUA